UACGUAGGUGGCAAGCGUUGUCCGAAAUUAUUGGGCGUAAAGCGCGCGCAGGCGGUCCUUUAAGUCUGAUGUGAAAGCCCACGGCUCAACCGUGGAGGGUCAUUGGAAACUGGGGGACUUGAGUGCAGAAGAGGAAAGCGGAAUUCCACGUGUAGCGGUGAAAUGCGUAGAGAUGUGGAGGAACACCAGUGGCGAAGGCGGCUUUCUGGUCUGUAACUGACGCUGAGGCGCGAAAGCGUGGGGAGCAAACAGG
rnacentral:rRNA from 1 species